UGCUGAUCGAUUGAACAAAGAUUGCUAACUAAAUUUCCAUAACUAAAAGUAAAUUAUUACAUUAGUUUUACUUAAUAAAGUGAUCUAUCACUUUGAAUCCAAUGUAAAUUAGGACUCCUUAACCGCUGGGAUUUACCAUAAGUCAGUAGGACAAAUUAUGAUUGGUUUGAAAGCGCUAAUAUACAUUAUUUUAAUUGCAUGUAAAAUGCUAAUGAAGUCCUAAAUUAAAAGGGAAAAUAUUUAAGUAUUAUUUUUUAUAUAUUAUGCUUGGAGUAACGAGGGCUAAUUAAGGCUUUGUUGGGUUUUUGAGUAUGGAUGUUUCUCUUUAUAAGUUCGUAUAAUAAUAAUUAUGUGUGUUUUUAGGGUAAAUACAUCGUGUUGUAUGCUUGAUUAAUUGCGAUGCCUUUGGUCUAAUUGUCUUGUUGGCUAUUGCAUUGUUUAAUCAUAUUACGUUUGUUGUUUGUUUGGUGCUUCUCCUAAGAUGAGAUAAUAGAAAAAUUGUCAUUUACUAUGUUCCUAAAAUUAUUAUAUAAUUAUAUUUAUAAAGUAAUAAUUAUUUUUUUGGUGAUAGAAUAAAAAAUCGUCGUCUAUGUACAGUCGGAUUUUCGUUUAUUAGCGUAUUGAUUUUAUUAUUGAAUAUUUGGAUUCAAGUUAGGUUUAGAUUAUCUAAACCACCAUAAGUGUAGGAUUCUUUUAUUAUCAAUUAGUAUUUGUAUCUUCUUUUUGUUUAGUGUCAUAGCGAACAAGUAAAGAAGUAAUGGCCAAACGAAGUUGUUCAAGGCGGGCAUCCAUCCUUCCAUUUGUCAAACGCAUCCUCCGAACCAAAGUUAAUUAACUCGAAAGGAGAAGAGCGUUUGGGGAAGGCGGGUAUCCAUUUUUCCAUUUGAUCAAAGGCAUAUGAGUCGGAGUAAUUCAAUUAACUCAAAAGGAAAGAGCAUUUGUCUGAGAUAAAUUUACUUGUGAUCUAAGGUUUCUAAAAUUUAAAACUAAGAAAGUUGAGGAGCUGACAACUUCUAUAAAAGAAGUCACUGUUCUACAUUGCUUAUCAUGAAUGUCAACGAAUAACUCUCAAGCCAUAGCGAACAAGUUAAGAAGGAAUGACCGAAGGAACUCACUAAAGGUGGGUAUCCAUUCUUCCAUUUGAUCAAAGGCAUCCAAUUAAUUCAAUUAACUUGAAAUGAGAAGAGCGUUUGGCGGAGUUAAAUUUGUUUGUGAUCUAAUGUAAGAUUAUGUAAUAGUAGAUGGUUGUGCAUUUUUUAUAAGCAAUUGUAUAUUGAAAGACUGU